rnacentral:rRNA from 1 species
GACGAACGCUGGCGGUAUGCUUAACACAUGCAAGUCGAACGAGAAGUCUUUUAUUGACCCUUCGGGGGAUAUAAGAGACAGACAGUGGCGAACGGGUGAGUAACGCGUGGGCAACCUACCUAUCGGAGCGGGAUAGCCUCGAGAAAUCGGGAGUAAAACCGCAUAACACGGAUAUAUCGCAUGAUGAAUCCGUCAAAACUCCGGUGCCGAUAGAUGGGCCCGCGUCUGAUUAGCUAGUUGGUAAGGUAAGGGCUUACCAAGGCAACGAUCAGUAGCCGGUCUGAGAGGGCGAACGGCCACACUGGAACUGAGACACGGUCCAGACUCCUACGGGAGGCAGCAGUGGGGAAUAUUGCGCAAUGGGGGCAACCCUGACGCAGCAAUACCGCGUGAGUGAAGAAGGUUUUCGGAUCGUAAAGCUCUGUUAUUGGGGAAGAAGCAGUGACGGUACCCAAUGAG